rnacentral:lncRNA from 1 species
UUCUUUAAGUUUUGAGAAUUUCUCAAUCCACACAAUUUUAUUAGAUUUGGGCGUAUACAAGAUGGAUUGAGUAACUCCUCCAUUUAUUAUUCCCUCAGUACAUUUCUAAGUGUCAUUUUUUAAUUUUUUACACAUGUCAAAAAAGCUAAUCAUUAUUAUUACUUUUCAAAUAAUAAUUCUUCUUUUACUUAUAAUACCCUUAAUUAUUUAUUAUAUUUAUUUUAUUUUUUCAUUCUCCUUUUUCUUAUAAUAC